GGGGUUGUGGCUCAGUGGUAGAGCGUUCACCUAGCACGUGUGAGGCACUGAGUUCGAUCCUCAGCACCACCA
rfam:Ictidomys tridecemlineatus contig035503, whole genome shotgun sequence.